CAGCAGGUCCCGCUGUGUUACCUCAUCCGGUUCUCACGUUGGCCCUGGUGCUCACAUUGGCCCUCUGAGGGAGGUACUGUUACUCUCAUUUUGCAGACAAGGACACUGAGACACUCAGCGGGCAGGGGAGUCUGACUCCAGGAUGCACUGUUAAGGAUGGAAGGAACGUCCACCCGCGGGAUGGCUGCAGAAGGAAGUGCAGGAAUAGGAUGGGGUCCCGGCGCCCCGCGGCCCCAGUGCAAGGUGUUCUCAGCGGCAGAAGCGGCGGACACCAGGGCUUCCAGCGAGGCCACCGUGGGCCCCAGCCAGGAGCUCUGGGGGCGGGGUGGGCCGUGAGGGGAAGGAGAGGGGACCCCGGGUCACUGGCCCCCGGCUCCCCACCCCCGUUCCCACAGAACCUGACCCCUUGGCAUUUUCAGAGUGGAAAAUGAAGCCCCCAAUCUUCUUGCCUGGAGCCUCAUCAUUUCCAGCUCCAGCAGGGACUUCACACGCUCAUUAAACUCCCAAAUAACAGA